AGGCAAUUUUUACCUGCUUAAAAAAAAAAAAAAGGAAAAAAAAAAGCAGUGUGCUUUUAAAACCAAAACGCAGGGAGGAACUCUCCCACCAUUCUUCUUUUGAUGCUGAAAUGCUGAAACUAACUCAAACAAUAGGAACAGUGAGUAGGUUUUCCCUUGAUUUCACAUUGGAACGGUCACCCCCCCCCACCCCCACCCCAGAAUCACCUACCAUUUUAGCAAGCAGGAUAGAAAUAGUUAAGUCCUGAAGCCUGCGAGUUAAAAACUCUGCCUGAGAGACACACGAUGUGAAACGGUCCUGCCAGGUGUGGGGGUAGCACUGCCAGGUGGGGACGGUGAAUGGCAGGCCUCCUGAAGCUCGGCUUCAUGGUCAAGGUCGUCUGACUGGUGCCACUUUAGAAACUGGCCCGCUUCUGUAGAGGACAUUGAACGAUCACCCCCUGCGAGUCAGCUGACUGCUGCAUCAUCGCCACUGCCCCAGCCCAGGCUCCUGCCGUUUCCUCAUCACAACGCACACCACUAAGCAAAAAGCGACAAGAGUUUGAAAGUGUUCUUUUCCUGCUGCUACUUGACAUGUCUUACGUGAGGAGUAUUUACCUUUGUUUAGCCAGGAGCAGAGAAGCAAUCUGAAGGUACAGGAUGGCUUCACACUUGGCAGCGUGAAUUUCCAGCAGAGCAGGAAACAGUUCUACGCAUUUACUUGGCAAACAAAGAAGCAGGAGGCACGGUGUGGGGCUGAUUCCUCAAGAGGAAGGCAACAUCAUUGCACUGGAUAAUGAUGGCUCUGACCCUCCGAAUCUUUCACAAUCUGUCUACAUAUUUCUCUUAAGAACUGUUUCCCUCUCAACUGAAAUCUACUAAACCACUCUCCGAUUUCCUUAAAAUGAAGAUGGGUGUGGCCAUAGCCUCCUCCUGCUGACUCUGCAAAACCCCAACCAGGACUGAGAAGGGCAAGCAAGAGCCUGUGUUUCCAACAGGGUCCAGAUACCACAGUUAUGAAUCUUCCAGCACCCUUGAUCUUCACCCUGAACACUGACAUUUCACACGAUGUUCUUUUAAAUGUUCAAAAACACGGCUGGGGUACUUGAAAGAAUGUUAUACCUCCCCCUAAGAAAGUGUGACAUCAGAUAUGCUUUUGGCACAAUGUUAAAUGAAAACAAAAAAGCAAAAUAAUUAAACUCUAAACUGCGAUGUAGCAAAGACAGCAUUAGCUUGGAAAUGAAAUGCACCUUGUAAGAAGAUUCAUCUUCAGUAGAAUUUUUCCUUCUUUUUUUUUU